rnacentral:rRNA from 1 species
CCUACGGGAGGCUGCAGUGAGGAAUAUUGGUCAAUGGGCGCGAGCCUGAACCAGCCAAGUAGCGUGAAGGAUGACUGCCCUACGGGUUGUAAACUUCUUUUAUAAAGGAAUAAAGUGCGGCACGUGUGCCUUUUUGUAUGUACUUUAUGAAUAAGGAUCGGCGAACUCCGUGCCAGCAGCCGCGGUAAUACGUAGGAUCCGAUCGUUAUCCGGAUUUAUUGUGGUUAAAGGGAGCGUAGAUGGGUUGUUAAGUCAGUUGUGAAAGUUUGCGGCUAAACCGUAAAAUUGAAAUUGAUACUGGCAGUCUUGAGUACAGUUGAGGUAGGCGGAAUUCGUGGUGUAGCGGUGAAAUGCUUAGAUAUCACGAAGAACUCCGAUUGCGAAGGCAGCUUACUAAACUGCAACUGACAUUGAUGCUCGAAAGUGUGGGUAUCAAACAGGAUUAGAUACCCGUGUAGUC